CACGUAGGCGGCCUGUUAAGCACUUUGUGAAAUCCCCCGGCUUAACCGGGGAAUUGCUUGGCGUACUGGCAGGCUUGAGGCAAGUAGGGGCGCGUGGAACUCUUGGUGGAGCGGUGAAAUGCGUAGAUAUCAAGAGGAACGCCGGAGGCGAAAGCGAUGCGCUGGGCUUGUCCUGACGCUGAGGUGCGAAAGCCAGGGGAGCAAACGGGAUUAGAUACCCCGGUAGUCCUGGCCGUAAACGAUGUCCACUAGGUUGGGGUUUCUUUGACGGAUUCCCGGCCGAAGCAAAAGCGUUAAGUGGACCGCCUGGGGAGUACGGUCGUAAGGCUAAA
rnacentral:rRNA from 1 species